AGUGAACGCUGGCGGCGUGCCUAAUACAUGCAAGUCGAACGGGGUGGCGCGCGGGUGAGUAAUAUAUAGCUAACUUGCCCAUUACUAAGGGACAACAGUUGGUAACGACUGCUAAUACCUUCUAGUAAUGGAUAGGGCUAUAUCGUAUCAGCUAGUUGGUAAGGUAACGGCUGACCAAGGCUAUGACGCGUAACUGGUCUGAGAGGAUGAUCACUCACACUGUAACUGAGACACCGUCCAGACACCUACGGGAGGCAGCAGUAGGGAAUAUUGCUCAAUGGGGGUAACUCUGAAGCAGCAACGCCGCGUGGAGGAUGACAAUUUUCGGAGCGUAAACUCCUUUUCUUGGGAAAGCGGUACCCACAGAAUAAGCACCGGCUAACUCCGUGCCAGCAGCCGCGGUAAUAC
rnacentral:rRNA from 1 species